rnacentral:rRNA from 1 species
UGGGGAAUAUUGGACAAUGGGCGCAAGCCUGAUCCAGCCAUACCGCGUGGGUGAAGAAGGCCUUCGGGUUGUAAAGCCCUUUUGUUGGGAAAGAAAAGCAUUCGGUUAAUACCCGAUUGUUCUGACGGUACCCAAAGAAUAAGCACCGGCUAACUUCGUGCCAGCAGCCGCGGUAAUACGAAGGGUGCAAGCGUUACUCGGAAUUACUGGGCGUAAAGCGUGCGUAGGUGGUUGUUUAAGUCUGUCGUGAAAGCCCUGGGCUCAACCUGGGAAUUGCGAUGGAAACUGGGCGACUAGAGUGUGGCAGAGGGUAGUGGAAUUCCUGGUGUAGCAGUGAAAUGCGUAGAGAUCAGGAGGAACAUCCGUGGCGAAGGCGACUGCCUGGGCCAACACUGACACUGAGGCACGAAAAGCGUGGGGAGCAAAACAGGAUUAGAUACCCUGGUAGUCCACGCCCUAAAACGAUGCGAACUGGAUGUUGGUGCAAUUUGGCACGCAGUAUCGAAGCUAACGCGUUAAGUUCGCCGCCUGGGGAGUACGGUCGCAAGACUG